CUCUCCCGACGCCCCUGAGCGGAAAGGAAACUCCUGAUCGGGAAGAAAAGCAACUCUCUCAUCCACGCCUUUGGGCGGCUGGAGGACAUCAUCCCUGGAAGUAUUUGGGGAACUUUAUUCCAUUUUAAUCUUUUUGUCCUCAGGCCCAGGAGUCCGCUCAAAGGCUGGUUGACUUGACUUGAAAUUAAGGGAGGGCUGGGGGGAGCAAUCCCACACACAGCUCAAUAAAUAUGUUAAAAAAUAAUGAUGGUAGUGGGACUUCAGGAACUAUAACCCAGAGAAAUGGGGGAGGGGCCUCACCCCUCACAUUACUAUUUAUUUUGCCUUUGGGAAGACCCGCACCUGAGAAAAUGCUUUAUUAUUUGGUGGACUCAAAAGUCUCAAAGGCAGGACAUCCUUCCAGUCAGGUAAGAGUUAACUCCUGUGACAAGUGCUGUUUCACAUUGCGGUUUGAAGACCGGUGUUACCACAAUCUCCUGAUGUAAUAUUUAAAGCACCCAUGCAGAUAGCAAUUGGCCCACUGUCUGUAUAGUGAAAAAAACCCAUCCAGGUGAGCUGGGAAAGUCAGAGCCAGUGGUUUUUGUUUUUUGUUUUUGAAUCUUUUCUUAAUCAGAAUCAGUUGUUCAGCCUGUUGUCUUUUAUGAUUAAUAGUCCGAACUCUCCCCACCCCCUUUUGAAGGGAGAAGGAAGUAGCCAUUAGGUCAGAUACUGUAUUGUCAGCUGGCUUGGGAACAUGGUAGAGCCUCCUGGAAAGACACUGUUGCAUGGACCCAGCUGGAGAUCCAGAUGGUGAGCCCUGAUGAGUGUAGGCAUCAGUCGGCCUGAGAGGAGCAGGAAGUGAGGGAUGCUGGGGGAGUCCCAGAUUCAGUGCUGGGAGCAAUGGUCAGCUCCCUCUGCCCUUUUCCCUGCCAUGACCAUAAUGCCUGGUGGGCGUGCACUUUACUCAGUGAAGGCAAAUUGUAUCUAAGGCCAGAUAAAGUGUCAAGACCGCACAUCUCUGACUCAGACUGCCGUGAGUCAUCCUGAAGCCAGAGGACAUGCACUUUGAGACGACGGGCCUUGCACCCUUCUGGUUGGCACCUUUACUGCCCUAUGGACUCACGUGGCUGAUUGUGCUACGUCAGAGGCAGCCAGCAAGGAUUGAUGUCAACAUCUUAUAACUCAGAGGGCUUCUACUUGUCCCUUGCAGAAGGGAGGAAACAGCCCAGGCAAGUUCACGCAAGAGAUAAGAGUGGCGUGGACGGCUGGAUUCGCUGAAGCACUAACUCAUCACCGCCAGCACUGGGGGGAAUUGGGCUGGGGUGGUGGGUCAUGGCCCUCUGGAUUUCAGACGUGGAGGAAAGAUUGGAAGCAAUUUUAAAUUGAGAAUACAUUCCCAGGCCCUGUCAACAAUGUAGCAUGAGUCAUAAACUAAGUCAUUUCAUCAGUGUUCACCAAAUUUCAACUGUGUCUGGUGACACUUCUGUUCUCAAUCUAAUGCACUAUUGAUUCAACACUGCUCCUCUCCUAGGGAGCUCUUAGUACCUCAAAGUGAUGUUUUUAAAAUCUAGCCUAAUUGCUACAACCAUGAGGAAACUCCAAGGCCUCCUCCAGGCCUCAGUUUAUCAUCAGUUUAGGAUGGUCACCGUCAGCAGCAUAAUCUGAGGUCACCUGAGGUCCUGAGGCACUCCAACUUGCAGGCAAGAGAGGAGGUUAGAGGGCUGCCCACAUGGAUCUCUGGGCCUCAGCCCCCGUUUCUGAUUCAGUCUGGGGCGGGGCCUAAGAACUGGCCCACUCACAAGGUGCCCAGGUCAUAAGGAUGUUGCUGGUUCUUCUGGUUCCAGACCGCCCUUGAAAAGUGAAACUCAACGGUGAGGUGAAGGCCCCAGAGGAGCUAGAUCAGAAUCUUGGGCUCUGUUUACCCAGGGCAUGAGCUGCCUUUCUCCUGGCUUUGGUGACCUGUUCCCAGGCUCUUGGCAGGAAGUGCCCAGGCCACAGCCUCUGGUUUUCUCACUGCAGGGUAAGAAAAGGGUACCCGACCCAGAUUUCUUUUCCAAUUCAUAGGCAGAAGACUUUCAUACCCUCUCAGAGGGACGGUAGCACUCAAAUAGGAAGAGAUCUAACACUCUGUACCCCUGGCAACUCACUGUCCCUACCACAGCCUUUCCCUUCCCAGGUAUUUGGGCAUCUGCAUUUUUAAGCCUUGUCUCUCUAAUUAUAGAAUGUAAGGCUUUGUCUCCGGUGAAGGGUUCCCAGGCCAAAGAAGGGGACUGGGAACUUUUGAUGGGGGUCAGGAACAAUGGUAAAAAGAAGCUUGUGUGUGAAAGAGGAAGGAAGAGGAAGGUGCCGGGGGCAGGGCCCACCCCCGCCUCCACCAAGCUGCCAGCAAGGGGAGACCAGGGGCUGUCCCCACUGCACUGGCUCCCAUGGCCUGGCCGCCCCCUCACUCCUUGCCCCUCGGCAUGGUUUAAGCUUCCAGCUCCUUGGCGUUUGCCAAAAGGCAGACCUACAGCCAGCACAGGGAAGGGUGGAUGCAAAGAGCAGGGGUGGGGAGUGAGAAUCGCCACAGUGUGCUUCCUACUCUGGCUGUGUGCUACGCCCUCUUGGACCCUCUGUUGUCGGUCUAUAAAUGGGGAUACUGCCUUCUCUGUGCAUCGCUGUAAGGAUUUGAACUCAUGUUUGCCUGGAGCACGAGGACCCAACAAAAAGGUAGUUACUGUUAAUAAUAUUAAUAGAGCUGGAAGCGGAGAGAGGCUACUUUCAGGGUCCCCAGGGUAAUGAAUGGGAAGGGUCCCAGCAGAGGAGGUAAGUGAUAGGAACUCCUGGGGAGGCACAGGGUGGGAGUGCGUGGCUGGCCCAGGAAACAUAGGGGCUGGUUCAGGGGGGGUCAAGUGCAGCAAGAGAAGUCCAGCUGCCGGGGGAUGAGCUCCCAGUGACUCUGCGUUUUACCAAAAUGUGAGUCUGUGUGUGUGUGUGUGUGUGUGUGUGUGUGUGUGUGUGUGUGUGUGACUAUGAAAAGAUUAAUGAUCCACAGUAUCAGAGAAAACUAUGACCGUUAAGAGUAGAUCUAUGGAAAUAGCCAAGAUAUGGAAACAACCUAAAUCCAUUCAUCAGCAGGUGAAUGGAUAAAGAAGAAUGAAAUAAUGCCAUUUGCAGCUCCAUGGAUGGACCUAGAGAUUAUUAUACUAAGUGAAGUAAGUCAGAAAGAGAAAGACAAAUACCACAUGAUAUCACUUAUAUGUGGAAUCUAAAAUACGAUACAAAUCAACAUAUCUACAAAACGGAGACAGAAUCACAGACAUAGAGAACAGACUUGUGGUUGACAAGGGGGAGGAGGUUAGGGGAGGGAAGGAUUGGGAGUUUGGGAUUAGCAGAUGCAAACUAUUAUAUAUAGGAUACAUAAACAACAAGGUCCUACUGCAUAGCACAGAGAACUAUAUUCAAUAUCCUGUGACAAACCAUAACGGAAAAGAAUAUGAAAAAGAAUAUAUAUUAUAUAUAUAUAUAAAGAAUAUAUAUAUGAGUCACUUAGCUGAACAGCAGAAAUUAACACAACACUGUAAAUCAACUGUAUGUCAAUAAAAUUUUUAAAAAAAAGAACAGUUCUAUGGACACGUCUAACUCACAGAUCUUGGUUUCUAAAUACCGUUCUCUGAUUAAAGGGCCCAGGAGAUCUUGGAGGGUUGGAGUGGAAAGAUGAGCCUGGAACAUGUUAGGGUGCCAAGAAAUAAGUAACUUUUAUGCUGAGGUGCCAACAAGUGACGGGGACGUGUCUGAAAGACCCGGGGGCCAACCUGAAAGGGCUCUUCUGGGAGAGUUUGAGCAACAAGAUAAAUCAUGACGGCAAUGGGUUCUGACGCAUAGAAUAAAGACUCCGUGAGUCCAAGCUGACGUAAAGAAAUAGGUACAUGAGUAAGUAAGUGGGAGCAGAGGGAAUGCUCUUCCUCAAAAAUUCUAGGAUUUAUAGAAAUUAAUGAUUUCUAAAAUUUAUAGAAAUUAUUAUAAUUCUAGCUAGUAAGCCGCAUAGCACAGGGAGAUCAGCUCGGUGCUUUGUGACCACCUAGAGGGGUGGGAUAGGGAGGGUGGGAAGGAGGCACAAGAGGGAGGAGAUAUGGGGAUAUAUGUAUACAUAUAGCUGAUCCACUUUCUUAUAAAGCAGGAACUAACACACCAUUGUAAAGCAACUAUACUCCAAUAAAGAUGUUAAAAAAAAUCCUGCCAUUCAUAUAAAUGCAUCAACUCAAAUUUUUUCCAAGUAUCAAAAACAGCAUUUCUCCAUAACUACCUUGUAUUGUAAUUAAAGUUCUUAUCUCAGUUAAAGUGUUUUCCCUCUAAUACUGUUCUUGUGGAGAAGCUGUAGAACAAUUACUGAUAUUCAGACUUUUUGCUUUUUUAUCUAAUUGGUUUACUAUUCUCCAGCUUCGAUCCCAAAUAAAAAGAUAAAGAUUUAAAACUCUAAAAAAAAAAGAAAAGAACUCUAGUUAAUAAAUGUAGAAGGAAUCGUAGACUAGGACAGUCACUGGCAAAUCCCACAGUAGUGCUUGUUUCACAGAGAAAUCAUCAGUGGUUGCUGAAAUUAGCAAAAAUACGAUGAGAAACAGGAUACUGACAGUCUCACAGUAUCUCCCACAAGGUAGUUACUAAUGACAAAGGGGAAGAAGGCAACUUUACCGGGGAUAAACCUGGCAGCUGCCUUAACCAAGGGAUCAAAGUGAACGCCUCCAGUGAUGGACCAAAUCGACAUUGUGUGCCUCUUGACACAAGGCACUGAGAAGGGCACAGGAGGACACCUUCAGUGUUCUUGCCAAAAAUGCAUAAUUUGAAUUUAAUCCUGAGGAAACAUCAGGCACCUAAAAUAAGGGGCAUUCUACAAAAUAACUAGCCAGUACUUCUUCGAAAACGUUAAAAUCACAAUGGAAAAGACUGAGGAGGACUGAAGGGUUCCUGCACUGCAUCCUGGACCACAAAGGGGACACCAGUAGGACAGCCGGGGAAAUUUAAAUAGGAUUGUGCCAGUGUUAAUUUCCAGAUUUCCAUAAUUGUGCUGUGUUUAUGUAACAAUUGGGAAAUUGGAGUGAAGGUAUUUGAGAACUCUUGGUACUGCUUACAACAUUUUUGUAAGUCUGAAAUUAAUUCAAAAUGAAAAGUUUUUUAAAAUUAAAAAGUAAUUAUAGAUGCUGGAAAGCUCACUAAAUGAGAAGACUCCCAAAUUGAUUUGGCCGUGUAAUCAGCUGCUAGUUACCUUAGUGACAGGUAACUAGCAGCUGAUUACUAGCAGUGACAGGAACGGCCCAACUGCCAGGUGGCAGGAGCAUCACCACACAUCGAGGGGCUUCAACACUGCCCGUCUACUAGCUCGCUGUUCUGUAGGUCAGAGGUCACGCAGCGAGACUGGGUUCUCUGCUCUCUGAACCAAGGUGUCAGCCGGGCUGAGUUCUAACCGGGAGGCUCUGGAGAAAAACCCACUUCCGAGCCCUUUCUCGUGGGCAGAAUUCAGUUCCCAUGGCUGUCUGCGGGUUCCCAUUUCCCUCUGGCUGUCCGCGGGGGCCACCUGCGUUCCUGCCUCCAUCUUCAAGGCGGGACGAGUCCUUCUCACGCUCUGAGCUCUGACCUCUGACCUCUUCUUCUGGGACCAGCUGGAGAAAACUCUCUGCCUUAAAGGACUCUGGCCCACCCGGAUAAUCCCCCUCUCUUAAGGUCAGCUGACUUGGGCUCUUAAUUACAUCUGCAAUUCCCUCCUCUGUGGUACCUAGACUCCUGUUUGCCGGAAUCACCGCGGCCAGGAAUCUCGGGGGCCAUGGGAGAAGCCCGCCAACCACGGGGGAGUAAUCUCUUAAACCGAAUGCAUGCAUGUGAAUUGGCAGCAGGUGAUGGCCGGGGAGAGUGGGCUACCCACAGUGAGGAUGCGGAUGCCCCAGGGCCCCUGCCCCGCCACGGGCUGAUCCUCAGAGAGGCCUCCUUUCUCCCCAGGCAAUCCUCCUGCUUAAACUCCCUGACCGUGCGGGAAGGUGGUCAGUUUUCCUCUCUCCUCCUUUCACCUGGAGUUUCAGAAAUCAGGAUUUAGUCUCUAGGGGACCGAUCCUUUUCAAAUUCUUGAUUAAUGCCCCCAAGGGAGGAGAGCGCCAUUGUGUUUCUUGUUCAACUGUCCCUGCAAGUUCGUAAGCACGGAGCAGUUACAGCUGAGCCUGUUGGGAACAUGUGCCUCACGGCCAACCAGCUCCGUCGGGGACAGUCACCCCUUUCUUCAGAAGGAAAGAAUAGCUGAAGUGAGGCUCCAAAGUCAGUGGUUGGCCUUGGCCGGCGGUUCAGAGUCUAACUCCGGCCUUUGAAGCCCACUGGGCCCAGGGAUGGGUUUGAGGUGAGGACAGAGCCACUGAAAACAUCAGAGCCCUAAAUGACUGAGCGUAACCAGUCUGCUCCUAGGAAGCCACUCCUGUGGCAGUACAACCAGGCUUUUUUUUAAUGUUACAAAGGGCUUUCGUGUGUUUUCACUGCACUCUGACAAGUUUUUGAUUCAUGCAGAGGCCAACAUUCACCCCGUUUCUCGGAUGACAAAGCUGGCCCCGGGGCGGGGGGGAGGGGUUUGCCCCCGUGGCUGGGCCAGACAAGGACAGAGUUCCGAAUCUAGGCCUCUCGACCAAGGCCACUGUUCUCACUCCCCACCCUCUCUCCAGGGAGCUGUGCUCUCUCCUGGCCCUCAUUGUCCUGCGGGCAGGAUGUCACAGUCCUGAGGGUAAGCUUAGCCGGGAAUCGGCGGCCAUUUGAUCUCAGUGUAUUUUGUCUUAAUAACCUAUUCAUGGCUGAGGAGCCAGGCUGCCUCUUUCCCAGAAAUCAGGCUAAAUCUCCUGGGCCAAGUGGCGGCUUUCCACCCCAUUAUGGUCCAAGAAUGUGAUGCUGCCUCUGAAGGGGGAAAUGAAGAGUCAUUGUGAUUUCAAUGAGUCACAUGAUCACUUCUGGAGAAAAAGGGUAAAUCUGCUUUAUGACAUAGGUUUCACUUCACCUGUAAUAAGGACACUCACUCAAGAGGCAAACGAAACAGUGGACGGGUCAGGCCGUGGAGGCGGGUGGCGGAUGCGUGACCAAGUCCAGCGCUGGCUCCGGUUCUGCUGCCGAGGCCACUUCUCCCUUCCUCUGCCUCUGAUUCCCCAUCUCGGCAACAAAGAAUACCAGUUGUCGGCUGAAUGUAAGGAGCAAACGACUGCUUAAGAGAAAAGAUACAUCAAAGUUCUAAUGUAAAUUCGGUGUGACGACUUUACCGUCUGACCGAGGAUGCCUAGUGGCCCAUCUCUGGCUGGUGGACUGAGAACUAAACACAGAUGAGACGUGGAACCAAGGCUUUCAUCCACCUCUGGCUGGGUAGGAGGAGUCUACCUGCCUUUCAAGGAAGACUGAUGAGCCAGAUAAGCAGAGAGAUGGCAUCUUUUAACACUGGAAAAAGCAAGUUAUAUCACUCUUCCCCGCCUCACCCAAUACUUUCAAGUUGACUUGUUUCAGAAAGAAGUUGAACAUCUUACUCCAGCCUCUUCUUCCCACUAAGCCUUGGGAAGAUGAAACAGUUCAACAUGAGUAAGCUUGAUAAGGGCCACCAACCAGCACAGUGGUGGCAGCACCCAGCUGGCAGUGGUAUUUCAGUCUUUGGAUACAACUUCUGGGUCUGCCCAAAAGGGCUGUCAUUAGUAGGAGGGGACUAGCUCUCCCGAAUGAGGGAUGUGUGGGUUAGCCUAAAAGGACCCGCGAGGAGGAAGGUUUAUUUUUGUCAGAAGAUAUGCAUUUGUCUAAUCGCCUGGAGGGAAAAGCUUUGCUUUUAUUCCCGCACAGUCAUUGUUACGAAAAUAACACAACUGGUGAGAAGCGGCAAAUGAGGAAAUCAUACACCAGCCUCCAUGAGUUGUAUAAGCAACUGUCCGCGGUGAAGUCUUAUUAAAGUGAAAUUGUUAGUUCUCGGCUUCUCAAGAAGCAUGGAGUCUUUGAUCAGAAGCUCUCAGGUGGAGGCCGUCCUGCACCAGCCCUGCUGUUCGGGAGGGCAUUCCGCUGCAAGAGCAGGAACCCACGAGAAGGCGAAGAAGGGCGCGGAUGAACUCGGGGGAGGAGCCUAACGAUGGCAGGUGCCCACUGCCUGGCGCAUCGUCCUCACCUGCGCAUCCCGGCUCCCGCCCCCCUCCCGCCCCCAAGCUGUGGACUCAGCUGAGAAGUGUCUAAGCCCCUCCUACGUGUCCUCAACAAGCCCACUGAAAUAUGCUAGGGGCGGGGGCGGGGCAGUGACAACGAAAGGAGCGUGAGGCACGCGAUCUUCGAUCUUCGCAGACAGAAAGCCCCCCUCAGCGGGGACACCUGGUAGAGACUGACAGAGACAGGCAAAGUGAGUCAGAGGCCUGCGUCAGCGUGAAGAUGGGGACUCACUGGACCAGGGCCACAUGAGGCGGCACAAGUGAGAAAUUCUCCGCCUCCGUCCUUGGCCAAGCCUCCUUUGGACCAAAGGUUUUAUUUUUAGCGAAUGCCAUGUCUUCCCUCUUACGUUAUCUGAUAACGCCCAGACUUACUAAACUGCUGCAAGAAACCCUAACUCCUUUCAUACCUUUGGGGGCUUAGAAACACCUCUAGGAAGGAGACGGAGGAGAACCAUCUGCAAAAAGAGCAGCGCAGAGGAGACUCCACGACACCCGGGUGCGAGUGGGAAGGCGCCGCUCUCUGUGAAUGAGGGCUGCCUGGGCAAGGUCGGGAGGCUGGGGCUCAGCUACCUAGUCGUGCUGGCAGAGCAGCAGACGUGACCAUCACUUCCCUUGAGCUUCCAAGCUAACGCAACAGCCUGCAUCUCAUUAAAAACAAAGUCAGCUUUGGAGUUCUUCAGACGUCUCUGGUUCCUACAACAUAGAUCACUUUUUAAGAGAAUACAUUAUCAAGACAUUUAGAAAAUCAUUAAACAAGCACAGUAACUUUCGGAGAUUCAUUUAAGAAACGACUUUCUAUACAUGUCCUGGGGAAAUAAGACAAGCCACCCUGACUGUGGAAGAUUGCUGGUUGCCUACCUAAUACCCAUUCACCCUCUUCUUCUCAGAAAGAGAACUUGCAAGGUUUAGCAGGACACAAAGCUGUCUGAAAAAAGGCAACGUCCCCAGCCUCCUUUUCAGCUGGCUGUGCACCUGACCAAGUUCCAUCCAAUGCAAAGUGAACAGAAAUACUGGAUUGUGUUAUCAAAGUACAGCUGGCACAUGCCUCCGUAAACUCUUCUUCCACCCCUCUUUCUCCUUCUUGUAGAUGGAAAGCAGAUGUGAUGGCUGGAACUUAAGCAGCCUUCACAGACCAUGAAGUGGAAGGCACGUGCUAAACAUGGUAGGGCAAUUAGAUAGGCAGCACCUGGGUUCCUCUUACUGUCACCUGGCCACCUCAAACUGCUUCUCUUGGAACGUUUCUGUGAAAGACAAAAACACUCUUAUUUAAGCUACUGUACUGGGUUGAAUAGUGUCCUCCAAAUUUAUGCCCUUUCCAGAACCUCAGAAUGUGACCUUAUUUGGAAAUAGGGUCUUUGCAGAUGCAAUUAGUCAAGAUGAGGGCAUACUGGAGUAGGGUAACCCUAAAUCCAACAUGACCGGUGUCCUUGUAAGAAAGAUACCGGAACAGAACGCCACGUGAUAGAGAUUGAAGUGAUGUGUCUAAAGGCUAGGAAAUGCCAAGGAUGGCCACAACUACCAGAAGAUAGGAAGAGGCCAGGAAGGAUCCUCCCCGGGGCCUUCAGAGAGAGCUCAGUCCUGUCGACACCUUGAUUUCGGACUUGUAGCUUCCAGAACGGUGAGAGAAUAAAUUUCUGUUGUUUUCAGCCCCCCAGUUUGUGGUCAUUUGCUAUGGCAGCCCCAGGAAACUGGUUCAUCUCCUGUUACAUGUUUUGUCUUUGUUACACAAGGCCUAGCCUAAACCUCUGUACUAACCCUGCAGAACCACUGCUUUUUCCAUUUGACGCCACCGUUCACUCAGGAAUGGGAAAUUUUGCUGGCAAAUGGCUGAUGAUUUCCACUGAUUUAUAGGAGAUGAAAGUUUUAUUACCAGCUCCACUCUUAACUCUGCCCAGACCCUUCCUCCCUGCACCUCACACUAGAUUCAGCAGUGCUCUCUGUGACCGCGCAAUUGAUAAAAAACGCAAUACAGUUGAUUCUUUGUAUCCACGGGUUCCACAUCUGCGGAUUAAACCAGCUGCGGAUCAAAAAUAUUUAAAAAUACUUUCCAGAAAGUUCCAAAAAGAAAAACUUGAAUUUGCCCCGUGCUGACAACUAUACAGCCUUUACCUUAUUAGGUAUUAUAAGCAAUCUGGAGGUGAUUUAAAGUGUACGGGAGCAUGUGGGUAGGUUACAUGCAAAUACUAUGCCAUUUUAUAUAAGGGACUUCAGUAUCCUCAGAUUUUGGUAUGGGGGUGUUUCCUGGAACCAAUGCCCCACAGAUACCGAGGGAUGACCCUAGAGGUAAGGGGGGCAGAGCAGGAAAACUGCCUGGUUAAUAAGAUCACUCAGCGCUUACUUUCUAACACCCAGUUUCUCUUUCACUCUUGUUCUGUCAUUCCUCUUCACCCUCUCCCCUCUCCCUACCCCCCGCCCCAUCCACUCUGGGCAAGGAACCUCUGGGCCAUCCCAGAAGCAAGUCACAAAGUGCUACCUGGAAAGUAUAUCUAGACCCCUCUGAAGUAGCUGUGGUAACUAGGCCUUCCACACCCAAAUUCCAGAUAUAUAACUGCAAGGACUCCGAAAAGAAAACAACAGUAAUAAUCAGAAUCUGAGCUGGAUGACUGCCACGUAAGCGGUGCUUUUAGCACAAGCUGCACCAUCCUUGCUCUUGGCUUCUCCUCAUGAUGUAAUGGCAAGUGCUGACCUGAAGGGCACACACAGCCCUUGCCGACAGCCUAAGCCAUCAGCGCUCCCUGCUGCAGCAACAACGACCCACGAGAAUGAGUGUGUCAAGUUUCCCUUCUUCCAGCAUUGGAUGACUCCACUUAUCUCUCAAUCUUCAAGUUCAUUAAUGCCUCUGAUGCAUCACUGCCAUACUUCAAGUGUCCCCUUAGGCACAGUAACCCUCUUUUACUGAUGGCAGAGGUUAGAACAGAGACUGCAAAAACUUAAAAAAAAAAAAAAUCAAAAGUUUCCUUUGAGUUCAUUGAUACAUAUUAUCAAUUCCCUUAAAACACCACAAACCUUAACUUACUGAUAAAAAAGAAAGUCAAGAAUAAUUAUCCAAAAGUCACACCAAAAAUGUUCAAAUAAGUUGUCAUUCAUUCAUUCAGAGAUCAGAGAGCCUACUGAUGCUCUCUGAUGCCAGGCAUGUUGGCAGCGUGGACUCUUUCUGCACAGUCUGGGGGUGCGUACAGACCGGCAGCCACAUGCGCUCCACAGUGUGACGAGUGCUAUGACACAGGGUGACAGAGGGGGUGACGGGAGCAGAGGCCACGCCUAGCGUGGAGCUGUGGGUACAGGUAUUAGCAGGCAUUUAUAACCUAAGCGUUGGAGCCUGAAGGAUCAGCACAAAUCACCUAGGGGAAAGUGGAAGCCCCACAAGGUGGAAGAACUCUGAGAAGUUCUGUGUGGCCCUGCAGCAGGUGCAGGGGUGUGGGAGGGUGACGGUGCAAGGGGAGGAUGGAGAAGCACGCAGGGCAGGAGAGCGGGGGCUUUGUUGGGCAUGCGAAGGAAAAUCAGGGCAGCUCCAGACUUGAGGACACAGACUCAACUCAGAGUAAAGUCUAGGCCUUAGGCUGAAAUCAGGGAGUUAAAGAAAGUUUGCUGAAUUAAGUGAGGGGAACCCCAGCUCACUUCCCAGAACACUAGCUGGGGAAUGUAGUCUUUAUUUUUUGGACAGUUUUGUGUUCAGCUAAAGCUUAGAGGUCUCUUUCUAAGGAAAGGAGUGUGAGGGGUAUUAGGGUAGGAAACCAGCAAUCUACCACAGUCAGGAUGGCUUGUCCUAUUAUUCUGUUGUUGUUGUUUAUCUUGUCCCAUGUAUAGUCCAAGUGCUUAGACAACUGCCUGUACAUAGCGCUUAAUAAAGAAUCAUUGAGAUAAUAAAACAAAAAAACCUCAUUUAUGUCCUCAAAGAGAUAAAGUUAGGGGAAAAAAGAAAGACCAGGAUGCCAUGCUAAAAAGUAAAAAGAGAGAGAAAGGAAGGAAGGGAGGACGGGAGGGAGGGAAGAAAGAAGAAAGAGUAUAUCAAAAUAACAUUUCAAAAAGAAUUUAAGAUCCAAUACUUGAUUAAUUGGAGUUUCAGAAAAAGAGAACAGAAAACUAAAUGAUGAAGCAAUAGUACUACAUAAUACAAGAUUAAUUUCCCAGACUUUAAAGACACAAGUCUCUAGGUUGAAAGGGCCAACCACAUCAUGACAUUUCUCAACACUGGGAGUAAAGAAAACAUCCUAAAUGCUUCCAGAGAGAAAAAGAUGUCACAUUCAAGGAAAAAUCAGAAGAGUCCUAGACUUCUCAACAUCAACUGAAGGAACUAAAAUGAAAUGGCAUAACAGCUCAGAAGUCUGAUGGAAGACAGUUUAAAACCCAGCCACGUAUGUAAGUAUAAAAAUCAAGGAUGGGGUCAGAAUAAAGACAUUUACAGACACAUAAAAACUAACAAAAUUCUCAUGAAGUUCCUGGCGGGAUGUAUUCCGUGAAAGCAAGAACAUAGAAGAUAGGAGACUAUAAAAAUAAGGGACCCAACACUGAAAACAGCCAAGGGAGGUCUCAAGAUGGCAAUGCACAAAUACCUAGAAAGUGACCAGUCCAGAUUGGGGCAAAAGGUCAGAGGACUCAGUGGGGAGAGGGCUCCAGGAAAAAUAUGAAACUAAUGGAUUAACUGAUAUACCUGACCAGGGGUAAAAAUACUGAAUGGCAGAUAAAAACCAAUGGAAGA